rnacentral:rRNA from 1 species
AGAUUGAACGCUAGCGGGAUGCUUUACACAUGCAAGUCGAACGGCAGCGCGGACUUCGGUCUGGCGGCGAGUGGCGAACGGGUGAGUAAUAUAUCGGAACGUGCCCAGUAGCGGGGGAUAACUACGCGAAAGCGUGGCUAAUACCGCAUACGCCCUACGGGGGAAAGGGGGGAUCGCAAGACCUCUCACUAUUGGAGCGGCCGAUAUCAGAUUAGCUAGUUGGUGAGGUAAAGGCUCACCAAGGCGACGAUCUGUAGCUGGUUUGAGAGGACGACCAGCCACACUGGGACUGAGACACGGCCCAGACUCCUACGGGAGCAGCAGUGGGGAAUUUGGACAAGUGGGGGAAACCU